AUCCUCCAGAUUUCUUACCCAUCAGACCUAUACUCUGGUCUGAGUGGCUCUACAAGGAGAAGUAAAAGGGAAAGUGGCAGUGUGUGUGUGUGUGUGUGUGUGUCCUACAAACUAGUUUCAAAUAAAC
rnacentral:snoRNA from 1 species